rnacentral:rRNA from 1 species
AUUGAACGCUGUCGGCAGGCCUAACACAUGCAAGUCGAACGAGUGGCGGACGGGUGAGUAAUGUAUGGGAAACUGCCCGAUGGAGGGGGAUAACUACUGGAAACGGUAGCUAAUACCGCAUACUAUCGGAUGUACCCAUAUGGGAUUAGCUAGUAGGUGGGGUAAUGGCUCACCUAGGCGACGAUCCCUAGCUGGUCUGAGAGGAUGACCAGCCACACGGGGACUGAGACACGGUCCAGACUCCUACGGGAGGCAGCAGUGGGGAAUAUUGCACAAUGGGCGCAAGCCUGAUGCAGCCAUGCCGCGUGUAUGAAGAAGGCCUUAGGGUUGUAAAGUACUUUCAGCGGGGAGGCGUUACCCGCAGAAGAAGCACCGGCUAACUCCGUGCCAGCAGCCGCGGUAAUAC